rnacentral:misc_RNA from 1 species
GUAGGUGAACCUGCGGUUGGAUCAUUACAAAGUUUUUGAAUCUUGUGCUAGCAAUAGCCAAGUUUCUUUUACCCCUUGUGCAAAUGUAAACGUUUCUGGGUGUUCUUUUUUUGCUGCAAAGCAGAAACCACCCGCAAUCUUAUAAACUCUAUUGAUUGUCUGAUAUUAUGAAAAUAAUUAUAAACAACUUUUGACAACGGAUCUCUUGGCUCUC